rnacentral:rRNA from 1 species
AUACGUAGGUGGCGAGCGUUAUCCGGAAUUAUUGGGCGUAAAGAGCGCGCAGGUGGUUGAUUAAGUCUGAUGUGAAAGCCCACGGCUUAACCGUGGAGGGUCAUUGGAAACUGGUCGACUUGAGUGCAGAAGAGGGAAGUGGAAUUCCAUGUGUAGCGGUAGAAAUGCGUAGAGAUAUGGAGGAACACCAGUGGCGAAGGCGGCUUCCCGGUCUGUAACUGACACUGAGGCGCGAAAGCGGUGGGGAGC